GACGAACGCUGGCGGCGUGCUUAACACAUGCAAGUCGAACGGAAAGGCCCUGCUUUUGUGGGGUGCUCGAGUGGCGAACGGGUGAGUAACACGUGAGUAACCUGCCCUUGACUUUGGGAUAACUUCAGGAAACUGGGGCUAAUACCGGAUAGGAGCUCCUGCUGCAUGGUGGGGGUUGGAAAGUUUCGGCGGGUGGGGAUGGACUGGCGGCUUAUCAGCUUGUUGGUGGGGUAGUGGCUUACCAAGGCUUUGACGGGUAGCCGGCCUGAGAGGGUGACCGGCCACAUUGGGACUGAGAGACGGCCCAGACUCCUACGGGAGGCAGCAGUGGGGAAUAUUGCACAAUGGGCGGAAGCCUGAUGCAGCAACGCCGCGUGCGGGAUGACGGCCUUCGGGUUGUAAACCGCUUUCGCCUGUGACGAAGCGUGAGUGACGGUAAUGGGUAAAGAAGCACCGGCUAACUACGUG
rnacentral:rRNA from 1 species